UACAGAGGGGGCAAGCGUUGUUCGGAAUUACUGGGCGUAAAGGGCGCGUAGGCGGCCCGCUAAGUCGAACGUGAAAUCCCCGAGCUCAACUCGGGAACUGCGUCCGAUACUGGUGGGCUUGAAUCCGGGAGAGGGAUGCGGAAUUCCAGGUGUAGCGGUGAAAUGCGUAGAUAUCUGGAGGAACACCGGUGGCGAAGGCGGCAUCCUGGACCGGUAUUGACGCUGAGGCGCGAAAGCUAGGGGAGCAAAC
rnacentral:rRNA from 1 species